rnacentral:misc_RNA from 1 species
UCCGGUUUGUCACCGGCAGUCUCCCUAGAGUUCCCGGCAUUACCCGUUGGCAACUAAGGACGGGGGUUGCGCUCGUUGCGGGACUUAACCCAACAUCUCACGACACGAGCUGACGACAGCCAUGCAGCACCUGUGCAUGCUCCCCUUGCGGGGUCGUCCCACUUUCAUGGUUCUACCACAUGCAUGUCAAGGCCAGGUAAGGUUCUUCGCGUUGCAUCGAAUUAAGCAACAUGCUCCGCCGCUUGUGCGGGUCCCCGUCAAUUCCUUUGAGUUUUAGCCUUGCGGCCGUACUCCCCAGGCGGGGUGCUUAAUGCGUUUGCGACGGCACGGAAGGGGUUGAUGCCUCCCACACCUAGCACCCAACGUUUACGGCUGGGACUAC